GACGAACGCUGGCGGCAUGCCUAAUACAUGCAAGUCGAGCGAACAGAUGAAGUGCUUGCACUUCUGACGUUAGCGGCGAACGGGUGAGUAACACGUAAGGAAUCUACCUAUAAGCGGGGGAUAACAUUCGGAAACGGGUGCUAAUACCGCAUAAUAUCUUCUUCCGCAUGGAAGAAGGUUGAAAGACGGCUCUGCUGUCACUUAUAGAUGACCUUGCGGUGCAUUAGUUAGUUGGUGGGGUAACGGCCUACCAAGACGAUGAUGCAUAGCCGACCUGAGAGGGUGAGCGGCCACAUUGGGACUGAGACGCGGCCCAAACUCCUACGGGAAGCAGCAGUAGGGAAUCUUCCACAAUGGACGAAAGUCUGAUGGAGCAACGCCGCGUGAGUGAUGAAGGUUUUCGGAUCGUAAAACUCUGUUGUAAGGGAAGAACAAGUACGUUAGGAAAUGAACGUACCUUGACGGUACCUUAUUAGAAAGCCACGGCUAACUACGUGCCAGCCGCCGCCGUAA
rnacentral:rRNA from 1 species